UUCAUUGAAGGACACAAUCAUCGCCUUGGAAGCUUCAUCACGAUACUACUUUGAUUUCUUCUUCCCUCUUCAGAAAUGCAAUGUGCAAAUUCAAUUCCUUGGUUUUGGAAGUCCCAUUGAGAACACGAUUCAUUUGCACCGGCAAAAUGCUCUGACCGAGAAAGAAUUGAAGGACCACGCUGAGUGUUGUUAUCCCGAUAGUUCUUUCAUAUCAGUCCAUGUGUAUUCCUGGGCGAACGUGCUCGUGUGGUCUCAGGAGUUGCGGAGGUCACGGCUCUGGGACAGCUGUUUCCUCGCCCUAUGCUGCAGGGUGAGGACUAUCUGCAAAAUCUGAGAUUGGGUUUUGAAAGACAGCAGCCUUUGUUUUGGAGAGAUAAUGGGAACUGCAGAUGCUGGAGAAUGCGAGAUAACACCGUGUGGAACUGGAUGAAGACAGCAGGCCAAGCAGCAUCUCAGGAGCACAAAAGCUGACGUUUCGGGCCGAGAACCUUUUUCAGAAAAUGGGGAGGGGGUGCGGGUUCUGGAAUAAAUAGGGAGAGAGGGGGAGGCGGAUGGAAGAUGGAUGGAGGAGAAGAUAGGUGGAGAGGAGAGUAUGGGUAGGGAGGCAGGGAGGGGAUAGGUCAGUCUGGGGAGGCCGGACAGGUCAAGGGAGCGGGAUGAGGGGAAAUAGGGGUGCGGCAUGAGGUGGGAGGGGGGAUGGGUGAGAGGAAGAAUAGGUUUAGGAGGCAGGGACGAGCUGGGCUGGUUUUGGGAUGCAGUGGCAGGACAGGAGAUUUGGAAGCUUGUGAAAUCCACACUGAUACCAUUGGGCUGCAGGGUUCCCAAGCAGAAUAUGAGUUGCUGUUCCUGCAACCUUCGGGUGGCGUCAUUAUGGCACUGCAGGAGGUCCAGGUUGGACAUGUCCUGUCAGGAAUGGGAGGGGGAGUUGAAAUGGUUCGUGACUGGGAGGUGCAGUUGUUUAUUGCAAACUGAGCGUAGGUGUUCUGAAAAGCGGUCCCCAAGCCUCUGCAUCGUUUCCCCAAUGUGGAGGAAGCCACAACGGGGACAGCGGAUGUUUUGGAUAUUCCUUAAGCAUUGAUUUUCAUUCAGAGUUGGUUGGAUUUUGCUGAAGCAAUAGACAUAACUCACUAUGACAUAGACAAUGUCAGAGUUAAUGUUUCGCGUCCUGUGACCCUUCCUCAGAUCUCACUCUUCACUGAUGCUGCCAGACCUGCUGAGCUUUUCCAGCAACUUCUGCUUUUGUUGCUGAUUUACAGUGCCCACAGUUAGAACAUAGAACAGUACAGCACAGAAAAGGCCCUUCAGCCCACAAUGUUGUGCCGACCAUUGAUCCUCAUGUAUGCACCCUCAAAUUUCUGUGACCAUAUACAUGUCCAGCAGUCUCUCAAAUGACCCCAAUGACCUUGCUUCCACAACUGCUGCUGGCAACGCAUUCCAUGCUCUCACAACUCUCUGCGUAAAGAACCUGCCUCUGACAUCCCCUCUAUACUUUCCACCAACCAGCUUAAAACUAUGACCCCUCGUGCUCGCCAUUUCUGCUCUGGGAAAUAGUCUCUGGCUAUCAAGUCUAUCUAUGCCUCUCAUUAUCUUGUAUACCUCAAUUAGGUCCCCUCUCCUCCUCCUUUUCUCCAAUGAAAAGAGACCGAGCUCAGUCAACCUCUCUUCAUAAGAUAAGCCCUCCAGUCCAGGCAGCAUCCUGGUAAACCUCCUCUGAACCCUCUCCAAAGCAUCUACAUCUUUCCUAUAAUAGGGCGCCCAGAACUGGACGCAGUAUUCCAAGUGCGGUCUAACCAAAGUUUUAUAGAGCUGCAACAAGAUCUCACGACUCUUAAACUCAAUCCCCCUGUUAAU